ACAAUGGUCGUAGCAUUCCUUUUCACUGACUGACAGUGGCUCUCCCUCUAGAAGUUUCUUGCUGAGAACCACGACAGGAUGUGACUUGUGCUCUGUUGCUUC